CCAAGAUUUUUGAUCUCAUGCAGAAAAUGCAAGAAUGUGGCCAACCGCCUAAUGAUAUUGUGCAAGAGCUUGCUCCUGAUAUUGAUUUUGCUAAUCUUGGUCAAAUAUCUCCAGAGAUGCUCGAGUCCCAGUCAAAUUGUUAAGACGACAGCUCCCUCUCAUUUUCUGUCCUCAUUUAACAUUUCCCUUUGUCCCAUAGGUACCUUUCAUUUUUCCGAAAUGGGAUUGUGAUAGAUGAAGCAGUGCACUUAAAUUAUUGUUAUUUUUAUCUUGUCAUUCCCUAAAAAUAGAAGGAAAUGCUUAGGGCCUUGGUUCAUGUUGAACUUGUAAAUUGUAAUGUGAUCUGAGGAUCUCUCUGAACUUAAAUUUGUGAAGAGAGGGGCUUAUGAUUCACUAAAGGCG
rnacentral:misc_RNA from 1 species